rnacentral:rRNA from 1 species
AUUGAACGCUGGCGGCAUGCUUUACACAUGCAAGUCGAACGGCAGCGCGGGCUUCGGCCUGGCGGCGAGUGGCGAACGGGUGAGUAAUGCAUCGGAACGUGCCCAGUAGUGGGGGAUAGCCCGGCGAAAGCCGGCUUAAUACCGCAUACGACCUGAGGGUGAAAGCGGGGGACCGAAAGGCCUCGCGCUAUUGGAGCGGCCGAUGUCGGAUUAGCUAGUUGGUGGGGUAAAGGCUUACCAAGGCGACGAUCCGUAGCUGGUCUGAGAGGACGACCAGCCACACUGGAACUGAGACACGGCCCAGACUCCUACGGGAGGCAGCAGUGGGGAAUUUUGGACAAUGGGGGCAACCCUGAUCCAGCCAUGCCGCGUGCGGGAAGAAGGCCUUCGGGUUGUAAACCGCUUUUGUUCGGGAAGAAAUCCUCUGGGCUAAUACCCCGGGGGGAUGACGGUACCGGAAGAAUAAGCACCGGCUAACUACGUG